rnacentral:rRNA from 1 species
CUUCCAGACUCCUACGGGAGGCAGCAGUGGGGAAUAUUGGGCAAUGGGCGCAAGCCUGACCCAGCAACGCCGCGUGAAGGAAGAAGGCUUUCGGGUUGUAAACUUCUUUUGACAGGGAAGAGCAGAAGACGGUACCUGUCGAAUAAGCCACGGCUAACUACGUGCCAGCAGCCGCGGUAAUACGUAGGUGGCAAGCGUUAUCCGGAUUUACUGGGUGUAAAGGGAGCGUAGACGGUUGUGCAAGUCAGAAGUGAAAGCCCGGGGCUCAACUCCGGGACUGCUUUUGAAACUGUGAAACUGGAGUGCAGGAGAGGUAAGCGGAAUUCCUGGUGUAGCGGUGAAAUGCGUAGAUAUCAGGAGGAACACCAGUGGCGAAGGCGGCUUACUGGACUGUAACUGACGUUGAGGCUCGAAAGCGUGGGGAGCAAACAGGAUUAGAUACCCGCGUAAC